CAGGUGUAUGGCGGGUCUGUGCACGUGCCGGAUAUGCUUCCGCUGGUACCCGAGCGUGACAGAUUAUAGUGGUAUCAGAGCCUAGGGUUGAGUCUUAGUGGACCUAGCAAACCUUAGGCUGGUUGGACUAUAAGAAUAGGCUCGUGAAAGACGAGGUCUAGUCAAGUUUUUGGCGAAAGUACUUUGAUUGGGUAACUUAUAAACUCCGAAUGGUAGGAGUUUGAUCGGAAUGUGCAAUUACUAACUUUGCAGAGGGCCACGUUGGCGGCCGACAACGUGACAUCGGAAGUUAGUAUAUGUUACAUUUCAUUACUUUCGCUUGAUUGGAUGGUUUAUAUCAGAAGUAGGGGUUCAAUAGUAUAAGGUUUAUUAAUCCAUGUUUGUUUUUGUGCUGCAGUUUAAGAUGCCUUCGACUCGUUCGAAGACCGCCGGGCGGCUGAGGCGGCUGAUGCGGAGGAAGUGGAGACCUCCGCUACCUCCGGGCCCAGUGGGGUCCGUGAGUUGCAAGACCAGCUUGCGAUGCUGAUAGACUUGGUGACUCAGCAGGCUACGGCAGCGCGACAAUAGAUAGAUGCUGCGCGCCGACAGGAGGAAAGAAUAAAGCGGUUAGAGGAUUUAUUACUGCGGCAGACGACUGAUAGAGAGAUUCCUGAUCCCAUGCCGACAAUACCAGAUAGGGAUACGACAGUAAGAGCACAGUCACCAGUGCCAGAUACCUCACCAGUAGCUCCGAGGGCAGAGACACGACAGGAGGUAGUGGUACCACCACCCGUGCAUGUGGCUACGACAGGGACAGUGUUGCCUGAGAUGGUGGGGGCUGAGGAGUAAGAGCGGAUGAUGGAACGACUGAAUGAAUUCCGUCGUUGCAACCCUGUCACUCCCGGGUACCAGCGGAAGCAUAUCCGGUACGUGCACAGACCCGCCAUACACCUGUAGUAUAUAAGGCAUCUACGAAGAAAGCAAGUCGAUAGGAAGUAAAACAAAGAAAGUCCUAUCCUGAUAUCAGAGCAAUGUACAAGUUGAUAUACUAUCAGUAAAAAAAUAAAGAGUAUACAAUCCAAAAUCUCAGCAAAAAGGAGAAGUGUCGCAACGAAAGUAUCUGGUCCAAAUGGUAAAUAUACAUCAUAGAGUAUAAAAGUAGAUCCAACGGUAGUCUCUCUAUACAUAGGGACAUCACCCUCGGCCGUAGUCCGAGUAGCAAGGUGAUAGACUAGUAUGCUCCUAGCAAUGUCUAGCUAGACGAGACUGCCUUGCCACGAUCCCUAGCCUCUCCUGCAGAUAGCUCUGUAAAAACAACCACCAAAAAGGGCGUGAAAACUAUUAACAAUAGUUCCCGGUGGGUAAGCCGCCAACUUCGGCGAAUUACACCACUAGGCUCAUGAUGUACUAAAGGUAAGUAAAAGCAAUAAUUGCAUGAUAUAUGUAUGAUGCUAACAAGUAAAGAGCAUGUAAUUUGCAUGAUAUCUUUCCAAUGCUAAACAAUUAAUAAGCAUGUAAACAACAUGUAAUAGCUUUCUACAGUAAUGAAUUGAACAAUAAAAGUAUAGCAGCUACUGUAAGCAUGAACAUAAAUAUGAAUGUGUAAGCAGAAACUGUACACUAUGACCGGUGAUUAUUCAUUACUGUCCAAUGUCCUUUAGCACUUUCCUUUCAUUCACAGGGACCUACACAAGGUAGUCUAGCUUGCGCCGCGCCUAAUGGCCCCGUGGUAGUAUACACUCCCCACGGCAAUCCACUUCGGCACCCAAUCCCGCACGGGCGAGCAACUGUCGCGUAGGCCAACUCCGGAGUGCCGGCUUGUAGGGAGCGACCCUCACAAGCGUGUGCGACUGAGCACAAUGGCGGCAAGCAAAUCUAAAGCUCAAUAUGUCUCGAUCAUCACUUUCCAACUUGCAUUGUUCUUACUCUCGAUCCUUUGAUCGGAAUCUCAUUAUAAUAAGUAUUGAUAACAGCUAGUAUCCACUAGAUUAAUAAACAUACAAGAUUACAUAUGGCAUUAGGAUCUUUUCACUAUCAUGGCACUAUAAAUAUAACCAUAAGCACGUCAUCAUUCUCUACUUUAGAGUCAAAAAAGUGUCAUAAGGAUGUCAUGGUUUUCUCGAAACAUGAUAACUUGUCUAUUAAUCACUCAACUAAAUUAAACAUGUAUAUGAAGAUUUAUAUGCAUGAGUGUUCUCUACUUCAUAGAGAUUUCAAUUCAAUUAUAUAUCAACACUAUAAUAUAGUGACUGGUCUCAAGUUCUAUAUCAAUCACAAAAGUAUACAACUGUAUCAAUUCUAUAGUACAUAUAGAACAUAUGGGAGCUCCACUUACUCUGGUUAGGUCAAACCCACCUAUUACUAAGUGCAAUCCAAUUGUAAGAAGUCCCAAAACUCAGCUCCACUAGGCCGCAACCUUGCUGAAAACAAAACACGAAAGUCGCACCGAAGCGAUCACUUCGAUUCUAAGUUCGGCAAAAUUCUCAAUUAAUACAAAAUGGAAGCUUAAUUCCCUGUUUUGGCUAGUGUAAUACCUCAAGAAGAGUCUCCAAGAGCUCUCCCAAGUCAACUGCGAACAACAUCGAAACGGCAUCAAUAUAGUCGAUUAUAAGCUAUUAUAAUCGAAUUCUUGCGACAUUAAAUUUCUAGCUGAAAUUCCUGCUUACCCUUGGUUAGAACACCUUCUAAAUCAGUCCCCAAAGUCACCAAUUAAGCUUAAUUUGGUUCAACAACCUGCUGCGAAGAGAAUAAUUUCCAAACUGCAUUAGUUAUUCACUUAACCGUCAUAUAGCUCCAACUAGCUUCAUAAUGAACUAAUUAUCUCUAUUAACCUUCAAAGAAUCUUAUCCCUGGUCUAAGGAGAUUAAUUCACAGCUAAUUAAUUCAUCUUUAAUAGCUGAAAUCUCAGUUUAAAGCAGUUGGAAGCAAAAACCUGAAAUAAAUACUCAAAUCGACUAAUAGAGCGCCGAUAACGGAAAAUCGAGUCGUUUACCUUCUCAAGCUUCCAACCAGCACCUCACUGGUCCAGGGCUGCGAAAAUUCUUCCAAAACACUCCCCCACACGCCCACGUAGGCUCUGCAACACUCGCCACCAGCGAAGAAUGCGCGAUACGACGAAAACGAGCGAAAUCGUCGAAUCCUUGUAGAGAGAGGAAGAUCCUAGAGAGAGAGAGUAGAGAAGGUGGAAGAACAAGCUCCAGAGCUCUAGCAUCCUCCACUGAGCAUUCCUGGUCGAGCUGGGGUCAAGUGGAUAGGUAUCAAGUGUGAAAUUAUAGAAAUACCCUUGCUGCCACGUAUCUGCCAGUGCUGUAUCGGUACAAGCUGAUGGCUGUACCGGUACACCCUGCAGAAAAGGCUGAAUUUUGCCAGUUCAGUGCAUUUCUUGCUUUUACCCCUCCAAUCACUCUCUAACUUGUUCAAAAAAACUUGUCCAAGUCAUUUAGAAUACGUAGAAUUGAUUCACAUUCCAUUCCCCACACUCGAACUCCGCAAUUUGCAAAAGUUCAGUGUAUUACAAACCCUCGUAUCUUUGACGAAAAAAAAGCAGAUCAUUGGGUGGUCGAGAAAUGGCUGAUGCACAUGGAGAAGCUAUUCUAUGAUACUUUUGUUGAGGAGCAAUACCGGGUUUGGUUCGCGACACACCAUCUUGAUGGCGAGGCUUACAAGUGGUGGCUUGAUAUUCGUAAAGACCCUUGUGUGGAUUUGUCAUCGAUCACUUGGAAAAGGUUCAAGGAAUUAUUGUUGACAACCUAUUUUCCGCAAAGUGUAAAGAGGCAGAUGGAAAGGGAUCUGAGAAAUCUGAGGCAGGGGGAUAGGACAGUAGUUGAGUAUGAGCGAGAGUUUUCUCGACUGUUACAUUGUGUUCCUUUUGUGGUCCGAGACGAUGAGGACAAAGCCCGAAUUUUCGAGGUGGGUUUGCGGCCUGCGAUUUUCAGGUUAGUCCAGGCGUCAAACCUUUCUACUUAUAGGGAGGUGGUGAAUCGGGCAUUGAUUGUGGAGAAAAGGGCAGAAAUUAUGAAGGAAAGAGAAGUUGUGGAUCGAAGCAAAGGAAAGAGACCAGUGGCUGAGAGUAGCGGUCAGCAAUCCUUCAAGAGACCGCCGAAGUAUUCAAGAGGCCAGUCGGGCUAGUCGAGGGGUCGAGGUUCUUCAGCACCCCGUGGAGCACCCGAGCGUCGUCGACAGCCACAUUGUGUCAUUUGUGGUGGGCCUCACUUUCCGCCACAGUGUCCACAACGUAGGGGCAAGUGUUUUAUCUGCGGCCAGUAGGGCCAUUUUCGCUCAGGGUGCCCGAGAGGUUCUUCGCCUGCCCCAUCAUCAGCAUCUGCACCUGCAUCUUCAGCUCUGAGUCAGGGGACCCCGACAGCACCGUAUCAAUUUAGACGACUACCGGGACAGCGGCAGUCCGAGAGUUCUCGGCAGGCUUCAAGUGGGCGUAUGUAUGCCGCCCAGACUGAGGAGGCCGCAGCAGUAGAGGAGGUCAUAACAGGUAUUAUUAUGAUUUAUAAUGUUCGUGUUCGUGCAUUAUUUGAUACUGGUGCUUCGCAUUCUUUUAUUGAUCGGCAGUUCGUCGAGUUGCAUAGCAUUCAAUUAGUACCUACUUUGCAUCCGGGACGAGUGAUCGUGCCAUAACCGCUUUUAGGACACGAUAUGGGCAUUAUGAAUUUACAGUUAUACCAUUUGGACUGACAAAUGCCCCAGCAGCCUUUAUGGUUUAAUGAACCGUAUCUUCAAGCCAUAUUUGGACAGGUUUGUGGUCGUAUUCAUCGACGAUAUCUUGAUCUAUUCUCGAAGUGACAAGGAGCAUGAAAACCAUUUAAGAAUGGUGUUGCAAGUACUUCGAGAAAAGAAACUAUUUGCAAAGUUAAAGAAAUGCGAAUUUGGCUUCGAGAAGUGGCAUUUCUAGGCCAUGUAAUUUCAGAAGCAGGAAUAGCUGUGGAUCCAAAGAAGAUUGAAGCGAUUAAAGAUUGGCCUAGGCCGACCAAUGUUACAGAGAUUCGGAGUUUCCUUGGUUUGGCGGGAUACUACCAAAGAUUUGUAGAAGGGUUUGCGAAGAUGUCUACUCCUCUCACUCGACUCACACAUGAAGGAGCUUUCUGUGGAAUGAGGCCUGUGAAAGAAGCUUUCAGGAGCUGAAAGAACGGCUGACAACCGCCCCGAUUCUGGCAAUACCUGUUACUAGAGUGGAUUAUGUGAUUUACAGCGAUGCGUCGCUGAAUGGAUUGGGGUAUGUUCUAAUGCAGAAUGACAGAGUAAUUGCUUAUACAUCUCGCCAAUUAAAGGAUUAUGAAAAGAACUACCCUACACAUGAUCUAGAAUUAGCCGCUGUAGUUUUUGCUCUAAAGCUUUGGCGCCACUACCUCUACGGCGAGCGUUGCGAGGUUUACACAGAUCAUAAAAGCUUAAAGUAUCUGUUUACUCAGAAGGAAUUAAACUUGAGACAGCGCAGAUGGUUGGAGUUGCUCAAGGAUUAUGAAUUGACUAUUCUCUAUUACCCAGAAAAAGCUAAUGUUGUAACAAAUGCUUUAAGUCGAAAAUCGACUAAAAAUUUGGCGAUGUCGAUAACUAUGCAACCACUUUUGAUAAAGAAAAUGGAAUAGUUGAAUUUGGAAGUUGUAGCUCCUGACACGCCUUGGCGACUUAUGUCAUUGGUGGUGCAACCUACCCUGGUUGAUCGAAUUAAAGAAAAGCAAGUUCAAGAUGAAGUUUUGCAACGGAUUCGAGCAAAGAUCACUGUUGAUCAUAUUGGUGACUUUCAAGUGGAUGACCAGGGGUUAUUAAGAUUCUGCAAUCGACUUCGUGUAUCAGCAGACUCAGAUAUUAAAGAAGAAAUUUUAAAAGAAGCUCAUCGGGCGCCGUAUACUUUGCAUCCCGGAAGUAUGAAAAUGUAUAAAGAUUUGGAGUUGACUUACUGGUGGCCUGGAAUGAAAAAGGAAGUUACAGAUUUUGUGGCUAAAUGCUUAACCUGUCAGCAGGUUAAAGCUGAACAUCGACUUCCUGCAGGAAAACUUCAGAGCUUACCCAUACCAGUGUGGAAGUGGGAGAGGAUUACUAUGGAUUUCAUUGUUGGAUUACCUCGCUCACAGGCAGGUCAUGAUGCGAUUUGGGUAAUUGUGGAUAGAUUGACCAAAUCUGCUCACUUUAUUCCGAUCCAUACAGUUUGGUCGGAAGAGAGACUCGCACAAGUGUACCUUGAUGAAAUUGUACGAUUACACGGAGUACCUGCCUCUAUUGUUUCAGAUCGCGACACCCGAUUCGUAUCACAUUUUUGGAGGAGUUUACAGGAGACCCUGGGUACCCGAUUGGAUUUUAGUACUGCUUUCCACCUUCAAAGUAACGGGCAGUCCGAGCGUACCAUCCAGACCCUUGAGGAUAUGUUGCGGGCCUGUGUGAUUGAUUUCCGAGGCAGUUGGCCACAGUUCCUACCUAUGGCAGAAUUUGCUUAUAACAAUAGUUAUAAAGCAAGUAUUCAAAUGGCAUCGUUUGAAGCUCUUUAUGGUAGGAAGUGCAGAUCGCCACUUCAUUGGAGUGAAGUGGGUGAGAGAUUACUCUUGGAUCCAGAUGUGCUACAGGAGGGUGAAGCUAAAGUUCGACUUGCACGAGAAUGUCUACUGACGGCUCAAAGUCGACAAAAGAGCUACGCGGAUAAACGUCGGCAAGAAUUGGAAUUUCAAGUUCGGGACCACGUGUUCCUAAAAGUUUCACAGACAAAGGGGUUUAAGAGAUUUGGUAUUCGAGGAAAGUUGAGUUCCCGAUUUAUUGGACCCUACGAGGUGUUGGAGCAGAUAGGCCCCGUAGCGUAUCGGCUUUGCUUUGCCACCGAACCUAUCGGGAGUGCACAAUGUUUUUCAUGAUCCACACUUCAGAAAUAUAUUUUUGAUCCGACCCACAUAUUGGAAAGCACCCCAGUGGAUUUGCGAGAAGAUAUGAGCUUUGAGGAACAUCCAGUGAAAAUACUAGCUCGAGAGGUGAAACGGCUUCGAAACCGUGAGAUACCUUACGUGAAGAUCCUUUUGAGCAACCAUGAUGAACGAGAAGCCACGUGGGAACUGGAAAGUGUAAUGUUGGAGCACUAUCCCCACCUUUUCCCGAUUGAAUCUUGAGGUAAUUGAUUAAAGUUUCGCGGACGAAACUCCUAUUUAGGAGGGGUGAAUGUAAUACAUGAACUUAAGCAAAUUGCGAAUUUCGAGUGUGUGGAAUGAUAUGUGGAACUAUCCUACAUCUUAUAAAAGGCUUAUACAAGUUUUUGGACAAGUUAGAGAAGUGUUUGAAUGGCUGGAAGUAAGAAAGUGCAUUACUGGCGAAAAUCUGCAUUGUGUACCGGUACAGCCAUCAUCUUGUACCGGUACAAAAUGGCAGAUACGUGGCAGCAAGGCUAAUUUGUUAAUUUCACUUCUUUAACCCAUCUUUAUCUACCCAGCACGACCUCUGGAGCUCCUUAGAUGAUGCUAGAGCUCAGUGAAGCAGCCUUGCACCUCUCUCACUCUCUUUCUCUAGGGUUUUUCUCUCUUCGAAUAGAAGUCGUCGAUUCGAGCCGAUUUCGCGCUCCGCUCGAUGUUCGCUGAUUUGGCGACUCAAAGGAAGCUUUUGGAACAUGGGGAGGAGGAUUUUUACUGACUUUUCUGGGAUCUUACUAUCAGAAAAAGCUGAGUUGUAGCUUUUGAAAGGUAUAUUGCCUAAAACUUCUCUAAUCGGAAGUUAGUAGCGGAUUUUGAGUCAUUUGGAUUUCUUUGCUCCCAGCUGAUUUAGGAGGAGUUUCCAGCAGCUAGAGAGGAGUUAUUUAGCUGUAAUUUAUCCACUCUAGUGCAGGGAAAAGUUGCUUUGAAGCUUGAUUAAGGUAAUUAGUUAUCUAUGAAGCUAUUUCGGAACUAUACGCGAUUCAUUUGAGCAACUUGAUGCAGUUUGGAAUGGUUUCUUCGCAGCAGGUUUCCGAUUCAUUUUGUGUUAAAUUGGUGACCUUGGGACCUGGUUUGGAAGGUGUUCCGGCCAGGGGUAAGUAGAAAUUUUAGAUAGAAAACUGAUUUCGCAAGAUUCCGACUAUAUUAAUUAGUAUUCGAGGGUUUUUUACGCCGUUUAGUGUUUGUUUGCAGCGAGAGUGCGAUCGACCCUUGGAUCAUCUUCGGCUGACUUGUGAAAGCUUUUGGAGGUUGAACUUGAGGUACUAAUGUGAACCAAAACAGGGAUUUAAGUUACUACUUUGUACUAAGUGAAAUUAUGCCGAUUUCGGACAUUUUGGUAAUGGUUUCCAAUCCGGUUUUGAUGCUUCGUUUUCAGCAGGGUUGAGGCCUAAUUGAGCUGAAUUUCGGGACUCCUUUGGGCUGGAUUGAGCUUAGUUAUAGGUGGGUUUGACCUAACCAGAGCAAGUGAAGCUCCCCUAUGUUCUAUAUGAUACUAUAGAAUUGACACAUAUGUGCGUUUUUGUGAUUAUGCGAUUGAUAAAGGGCUUGGAACAUAUCACCAUAAUAUUUGAUAUAUUUGAAAUAAAAUCUCUAUGAAGUAGAGAACACUUAUGCAUAAAAGUAUUUAUAUUUAUAUUUAGUUCAGUUGAAUAACUAAUGGACAUAUCUAUUGUAACAUACCAGAUUUUAGUAUAAAAAUAAAAAUAAAUAAAAAUAGUGUGAGAAACUAUUUUUAUUGGAUUUGUAGGAGUAAAACAUAAGUCAGAAAUGAUCUGUGCUGAAAUCGGAAUUAAACAGAAGAUUUAGAAUUUUCUGUUGGAAACGGGGCAGAUAAAUUAGCAGAAAAUGCACAGUCUCAGAAAAUUAUGAAAAUUGGCAGAGAUGUCAAAAAUAUUUUUAUGAGGCUAGAUUUAAGGUUUCAUAUUUUUCUGACACCCGUAGAGUGAGAAAUAAAAUCCGACACCUAUCUGAUAAAGAUUACAGUUCGGUACAGUUUUCAGUGACCAAACGGGGUCGAAACUGAACCAGCGAUCGUCAGCUUGUUAAGUUAUGUAAAACCGAACAUGACUGUCAAGUUUGAGCUCAAACGGAUAUUUAGGGAGCUCCGGCGAAAGUUAUCAGAUUUCAAGCUGCCCGGGAAUGAAUAGUGUCGGGUGCAUUAUAAAGAAGCUGAUGCUUCUUCUUCUUUCUCCUUCAGCCCGAGCACACCCACACCCACGCACGCAUGGAGUAGAGAGAGAAACACCUCUACCACUCUCUAGAUAUCUCUCUCAUCUCUCUAAAUCUCUCUCUAAAAAUUGGAGGGUUGGUGGAGAAGAUGCUUGCGAACGCGUUGGAGGCGUCGGAUCGGGCUUUCGUGCGACCGUUGGAGCGGUGUGUUGUCGUCGCGGCGUUCACAUUGAGGUAAGCUUUUGGGAUUUGGCUUAAUCCUUAAUGCUUAGUGUUCUAAUAGCCUCUAAUGAGCAUUCUAAACAUGUUUGCUCUAUUUAAUUUGGAUUAUUUGGAGAUUAAUUCAUGUUAGGCUUAGAAAAUAGGGUUUUAUAAAAUAUGAGGGUUUGAUCUAAUUUGACCCUCCGUAAACCAAAUUGCUAGGUAAACGAACGCGUUGGCGAAGACGGUUCGGCAAUCCGACGAGCCGUUACAAAGUUAUUAAAGAAAUAGACGUUUAGGCUUCGGGUCCGCCGGGAGGGCCGAGGCGAUACCGUAAAUUCAUGAAAAUGGAUUUGAAGCAUCGUGGCACAUAACCGAAGACCUUUAAUUUUCGGAUCGUGAAUUGGAGGCCGUUCGGGUAGUCGCGUGAGAGAUCGGACCAAACCGAGUGCCGGGUGCCGCGGGCGGCCGAUUGCAAGUGUCGACAAGCAAUCGGAAUGCGAAAUGAGGUGGGUUGUGUUUACCGAAGCGACUAGGUCGCCCUUUAUGUCUAAAAAAUGAGAUUUCAUAUUGAUGCAUGUUGACAUAUAAUGUGAAAUGCUAGAGGAAUGCAUUUGACACAAUGUAAGAAUGUAAAAAGAAUGCAUGUUAACAUAUUAUAGAAAUGCUAGAUAAAUGCAUGUGACUAAUGCUUUGAAUGCAUAUGAAUGUUAACAUUAUAAGAACAUGAUAAGAGGAAUGCAUGAUGACUUAGUGUAAAUAGUGCUAGAUGAAUGCAUGUGGAUAAUGCUAAGUAAUGGUAUGAUAAGCAUGAUGUAGAAAUAAUAAAUGCAAGUAUGUGGCUAAUACUAAGAUAUACUUGAUGAUCAUGUUGUAGAGAUACUAAUGUUAAGAAAUGAAAAUAUGCAUAUGGACAAUCUAUAUACAUUAGAUCGAGUGGCAUUAAACCUAGAGUCAUGGACAUAGGUUGGACAUGGAGGAUAUGAACCUAGUGCCAAAGAACAUAGGUUGGACAUCAAGUGACAUUAAACCUAGUGUAUUGAACAUAGGUUGAACAAGUAUAGUGUGAACCUAGUGUCAUGAACCUAGCAAACACUUGUGGCAUUGAGCAUAUAUAUUUGUAUCAUUCAUACAUAAUAGGGCUAAGUACAUGUGAACCUUGGUUACUUUCAAUGACAUGUUUCUAACGUAGUUGAACAUAGAGAAAGGUAGAACCAUAAUGAACAUGUAUGUUAGGACCCUAUUAUUGUGUGAAUGUGAGAGAUGGACUUGGACAUUAGUAAACAAAGGCGAUAUUGACAAUAGAGACAUUGUUUGGCAUAGAGGAUAUAGUUGUUAAACAUAGUUUAACCAAGAGUGGCAUUGGACCAAGUUGACAUAGAGAGUGACAUGAAUAAAUAGGUAGAAAACCUAUCAUGACAAUGGCAUUGUGACGAGUGGCUAUGAAUCCUCAAGUUGAGGAUUGAUCGAUACUCACGAUAAGUCUUGGCUUGAGGGAGGUAGCUCCCCCUCGGGCGGUGCGCUCCGGAGUUGGUCACCACUGGGCAUGGUAAAGUCCCACCAGUUGACGGUCCCUAGGGAGGUUCGAGUCCCCCGUUAUUAAGGAAUUUUGGGUUGUGAGUUAUUGGGGUUAACAGAGUUAACCGGUAGAUUGCGUCAUAGCAAACGAGUGUACAACAAGUGCAUAUGAGUUAUGGAUUUGGUAUCCCAGUUGAGAGGAUCUAGGGCUGAGGUGUAUGUGAGACGUCCAUCGCCUCGAGCCUAGUUUUGGUGCGGUAUUCCGCAGUUGAUUGACUCGAGACCGAGUCGGGUGGUAGCUUGGCUAGGGUAGAGAAACCUUAGGAGAAAUAACCAAUGAUGUAAAGUGAUAAGAGGUAUAAAUUAUGAAAAAGCUAUGGAUAGCAGAUACAAAGUAAAAUCAUUUAUUCUACUUGUAUAGUUGCAUGAUUCGCAUAUAGCAUGGCCUUAUUGCAUUCGUGAGCCAAAGCAUUGGUUUUAUUAGUUGCAUAAUAAAGAUACAUAUCUAUCUGUUUAUUGAACUAACUUGCAGUUGCCUCCCUUUGACCUAUUGGUCGAGCUUUUCCCUUGGUGGCCGUACCACUGGGAACCAUGGAGUUGGUUCUCACCCACGUGGUUUUGGAGUUUUUACAGGUUCGCACGGUGAGCGGCGCGGCGCGGCGAGGCGAGGGCGUAGCUCUAUAGUUAGCGCCCUACCACCCGAGACCAGAGAUAGUGGUACCCUAAGUUGGCCUUACUUAGAGAUGUAAAGAAUGAAAGAAUCAAGUUGUAAUAAUAUAUUAAAUCGGAUUGUAUUUGGAAGUUAAAUGUAAUAAGUAUUUGGAAUGUAAAAAUGUAUGAAUAUGAAUGAAUGUAAUAAUAUAGGAUGUGUUUAUUGUUGUUUAUACCUUCCAUUAUGCAAUCUUGAUUGAAAUGUGUUCCUGGUUGGAACUUCGCACAUUGUAUUGAUUGCUAUGCCUUGAACGUACAGGGGAGACUCUGUCCGCAGUACAGGGGACCACUGUCCGUUCGCGAUCUGUUGGCGGCACCGCGGACCCGGCCAAAUAGGCGGGCGGUCGCGGGGCGUGACAUUAUUAUGCGUCUAUAAAGUAGAGAACAAUGACAUUCUUUGUGGCUAUUUUAUAGUACCUUGAUAGUAGAAAGUUUUUAAUGCCAUAUGUAAAUAGCAUUACUUUCAGGUGCUUACUAAUCUAGUGGAUACUAGCUAUUGUCAUUGUUCAUUGUAUUGAGAAUUCCGAUCAAUAGAUCGAGAGUGAGAACAUUGCAUACUAUGACGUAAGGUUUGAGACAUAUUGGACUAUGGACUUUGCUUGCUUGCCAUUGUGCUCAUUCGCACACGCUUGUGAGGGUAGCUCCCUACAAGCCGGCACUUCGGAGUUGGCCUAUGCGACAGAUUGCUCGCCUGUGCGGGAUUGGGUGCCGAAGUGGAUUGCCGUGGGGAGUGCAUACUACCAAGGUGCCAUUAGGCGCGGCACAAGCUGGACUAUCUUGUGUAGGUCCUUAUGAAUGAAAUUAAAGUUCUAAAUGACAGAUGAUAGUAAGGAUUGAUUACCAGUUAUAGUGUACAGUAUUUACUUACACGUUUAUGCUUAUGUUCAUUUUUAUGAUCAUGCUUACAGUAAUUGCUAUGCUUUUAUUAUUCAGUUGAUUCAUUACUAUAGAAAGUAUGAUUACAUGUUGAUUACAUGUUCAUUACUUGUUAACAUUAUAAAUAUAUCAUGCAAUUACUGCUUUUACUUUCAUUUAGUACAUCAUGAGCCUAGUGGUGUAAUUCACCGAGGCUUGCGGCUUACCUACUGGGAACUAUUGUUGAAUAGUUCUCACGCCCUUUUUAUUAUUGCUUUUACAGAGCCACCUUCAGGAGAGGCUAGGGAUCGCGGCAAGGGAGUCGCAUCUAGCUAGACCUAGCUUGCGGUUUUACUAGGUGAUCACCUUACUACUCGUGCGACGGCCGAGGGUGAUGUACCCGUGUAUAGAGAGACUACCAUUGUACAUGUAUUUUGUGUACCCUGUGAUGUAUAUGUGGUUUGGAUCGGGGAUUGUAAUUUUGAUAUUUCUCUAUGAUGUGAGAUUUUGGGUUGUGUACUCUUUGUUCUUCUGUUCAUGGUAUUACAGACUUAUACUUGCUCUGAUAUCAGGAUAGGAUCCUUCUAUGUUUUCCUCCUAUCGACAUGUUUUCUUUGUAGACGCCUUAUAUACUACAGGUGUAUGGCGGGUCUGUGCACGUGCCGGAUAUGCUUCCGCUGGUACCCGGGCGUGACACAUGCAUACAUCCGAUAGCUUCUAAGUAAAAUAUCAUAACCCCUUUGUCGUCAAUCAAUUACUCAGAUCAUAAAUGAUUUAUCAUCUGAACAAAGUGCCCAGUUGAGCCUUCGCCUUUCCUGAAGCCUCAUUCAUCCAAAUUGUUUUUCUUUAGGGCAAUGAAAGUUUCUGGCUGUUUCUCCAAUAUUUAUCUUUUUUGUUUGUUUCGUCUCAACAUCGAAAACACGACAAGUUAAUUGAGGGAGCUAUUGAGAUUUUUGGAGGCCCUUAGAUUGGAGAAAUGCAGCCAAUCCCCAUUUCAAUAGCACCUUUUUUCUCCUUUUCUUUUUUGCAGGAAGGCUUAUUUUUAAGAAAAGGUCGAUGGUUUGCCUCAUUUAAAAGUAUCAAUUUUUCAAAGAUCAUGGCAUUAUAUAUAUGUUGCUUCUUCUGUUCUUCUUCUUCUUCUUCUUCUUCUUUUGAGCAAUACUUUUGAAGAAGAGUAACUAGCUUUGAUUGCCAGAUAUUGGAGGCAGGAAUAAAAACUAGCCUAAUUUGUCCCAUGUAUUUCACUAGAAAUUGGUGAACAAACAUUGUUGGUCCAACUGCUUUUCUUAAUCCCAGCCUUUGAUAGAUUGCUUAAUAGAUGCCGCCAUGAUCUUGAUUAAUUUACAUCUUUUGAAAGGCUAGAGAUGAUGAGCUCCGAAAGCACGAGAACAUUAAUCAUACCGCAAUAGCGAAGUAGUCCUGCCCCCGGAAGGUGCACAAUUUCAAUUCAAUCUACAACCAAUUGAGGGUGCUGGAAUAAACGAUAGUAAUGCUAUCAUAUCUUGCCCCUUGUAGAAGUGAAACUAAUUUUACUCAAUUACAUCUGUUGUUUGAGAGUGAUGGAAAUAUGCGGAAGCAACACCACUAUAUUCUUGCCCCCUAUAGAACUGUUGUUUACGAAACUACAUCCAUGAAUCAAGAGUGAAGGAAUAGGCGUACGCCACAUCACCAAACUGUUUCCCCCGCUUGAGCACCAUUGAGCAAAGUUACAACGAUUCUAUGUUUCUCGAACUUCGAGUUAUUUCCCCCAAGUAGAGUUCUAAAUGUAAGAUUUUGAAAUUUGAAAAUCAAUCCUUUAUCAACACUACAAAAGAUCUCAAAGAUGGAAGGAAAAGUCAAGUCCCACCGAGCGUGCCAUUUUGUCUGCGACCUCGAACGACGCACCUCGCACGGUUAAUCUUCUUUUGAUUUCCCGUGGAGUAGUAUUCAUGAUUCAGAUUAAUUUUUAAGUAUAUAUGGUUAUCAAGUAUUGUGAAUUCAUGGCUUCCAAUAAACGCAAGCGUCUAUUGUUAAUUACCCCUAUAAAGUGUUAGGGCACUUUCGAUUAAGAGACCUUCGAAAUGUCAAAAUAGACUGAAAUUGAAUAAAAGAUGAAUUUUAUAACACAAUCUGUUAUAUAGUUACAUAGCUUAACCAAGGGCAUACCCCCGGUAUACAUGAAUAGAGAAAGUACUUAGUUUAACGACAUGACGGUCGAUUAAAUUAGGUUGCUUAGUUUAACGACAUGGCGGUCGAUUGGAUUUAAAUUGCUCAGUUUAACGACAUGGCGGUCGAUUAGAUUUAGGUUGCUCAGUUUAACGACAUGGCGGUCGAUUAGAAUGAUUUGCUCAGUUUAACGACAUGGCGGUCGAUUAGAUUUGAUUUGCUCAGUUUAAUGACAUGGCGGUCGAUUGAAUUGAUUUGCUCAGUUUAAUGACAUGGCGGUCGAUUGAAUUGAUUUGCUCAGUUUAACAACAUGGCGGUCGAUUGAAUUUGAUUUGCUCAGUUUAACGACAUGGCGGUCGAUUAGAUUUGAUUUGCUCAGUUUAACGACAUGGCUAGUACUUUCUCUUUGGCUAUUGCUUGCCCUCGUGCAAGCCAUUAUGUUUGCUUCCGCAUGUACAAAUCUUAUACUCUAUUUGUACUUGUUGUUGAGCCUUGGGCGGACAGCGGAGGCUCUGUCCGUUCGGCGUCUGUUCGACGGGUCCGAACCGGCCAAAUAGGAUCGGGUUCGGGGCGUGACAAAUAUAAUGGUAUCAGAGCAUAAAGAGCCAAAAAGUGAAAGUAUAGGAUGGACUUAGAGACCUUUAGGAAUGGAAAGACUUAAGAAUCUAGGAAACGUGAGUGACGUGGAAUUAAAUAUAGCGAAAGCAUGUGAUUGGGUUGAUGUUAGUAAGUCUCUAAUGUGCUUAGAGGCUAACUCAAAUUGAUAUUUAUUUUCUAUUCCUUGUGUUGUGAUCGGCGGCCGACGACACUGUUCACGGAAGGAAAAUAAAUACACUUGUUUGCUUUCGCCGGAUUGGGUAUAUUCGAGUAUGUUGGUCACGUAACUAAUGUGAAUUGCUUCAUUUCAGGAAGCAAUGCCACCUUGAGGACGACCGCGAACGAGGUCUAUUCCCGAGGAGCCGAGUGCGGCUCCCGUGCAACCCAAAGCGGGUGGCGACGGGGAGCUUAGGGAUCAAAUAGCCGCGCUUAUUGGCGUAGUGCGACAGCUAGCGGAGUCAGUUCGGCAUCAGGGGGAGCAGAUUCAGAGGCUCUAGGAGGCCUUGGAGCGACAGCAGGCGGCGGUGGCUCAUGUGGAGGCCGACCACCCUGCGCCCCCUGCUACGGUGCCGAGCGCGGAUGAGGGUGUGGCCGCGGCGGCCAUUCCAGUGACGGCAAUACCGGCCGGAUCGGGAACCUCAAAUCCCGACAGUACGAUGGUAGAGCCGGAGCGGGAGCGCGCGCUUGUAGCUCUCAUUCCAUUCAAGAAGUUCAACCCACCUAUCUUCGAAGGGGGAAUGGUGGAACCGGCGGUAGUGGAGUCAUGGAUCGACUCCAUGGAGACACUCUUCGAGGAUCUAUAUACCUUGGAGAGGGACAAGGUGCACCUCGCCACACAUUGCCUCGAGAAGGCGGCGAAGGUGUGGGGGAAGCGAGUUAGGCGGGAUCGGUCUCCCGAUCUUUCGCCUAUAAUGUGGGAGGAGUUCAAGAGGGCGAUGUUCGCCAACUACUUUCCCGACACGGUGAAGCGGAAACUGCAGGAAAAGUUUCGCAAGCUGAGGCAGGGAGAUCGCUCCGUGGCAGACUACGAGCAGGAGUUCUCCCACAUUAUCGACUGCGUCCCGGAGGUUGUGUGUGAUGACCGGGACCGGGCCGAUUGGUUUUUGCGAGGACUUAGGCCGAGGAUCUAUAAGGCAUUGCAAAUCCUCAAGCUGACGACCUUUGCGGAGGUCUUUGACCGAGCUCUAUGGGCGGAGCAUAGCAGCGCCUACGUGCGAGAGGAGCGCGAGGCUAUGACGAAGUCGAGGGACAAGGGAAAGAAGCGGGCGGCGGGUGGCACCGGGGCCAGCCGAAUGCAAAGAAACGCCCUCGGUAUCCCCGACAGCAGUUGAGGAGUUGGAGGCCUUCUCGUUGUGCUAUUUGUGGUGGUGAUCAUCGGCCGCCGGCAUGCCCGCAGCGCGAAGGAAAGUGUUACAAGUGCGGCCAAGCGGGGCAUAUGGCUCGGGAGUGCCCGGGUUGGGGGUCGUCUGCACCGACCACGGCAUCAGUUCCUUCUACCCUGAGACAGCUUGCGGGGUUACCACCGGCUAUGUCUGCUGGACGCUCAUCUUCGUCGCGUCAGCCGGAGGCAUCUAGAGCACCGAGUGUGUAACGUAGCACUUCCCCGUAAGCCGUGCCGAGUUCCGUCGAAAUGUGCGGAACGCGGAGUGGAACGAGUUGGUAUAGGUUAAAAGUGCAUUGGAACCUAUAAACAUGUUAAAGGGACCCGAGAGAGUGAAAUUGCAAAAUCUGGCUAAGUUCCAGAUUUUGGGCUCUCGGGGACCGGUCCCUGGGGGGAAGAGACUAGUCCCCGAAAGCGUAUCAGCCGAGCAGAGAGAAAAAUCGGCUAAGUCCUGAAAAUCGAGCUCUCGGGAACCGGUCCCUGUGGUGAGAGACCGAUCCCGAGAGACCGGUUGCAUCGGGGGGAGACCGGUCCCUUUCUGCGAAGGCUGCGGGGUAGCUCUCGGGAAUCGGUCCCUUACUCGAGAGACCGAUCCCCGAGCCUGGGAUUUGCCCAGUAAGGACUGUUUGCAAAAAUGAAAAUGCGAGGGGCUUAUGUGCAAAAGUGACAUGAGAUAGAUGUAUGUAUGUGAGAAAGCUUGUGUUAGGGCUCAUUUCUCACCCAAACACAAAGCUUCUCCCUCUCUCUCUCUAAAAACCUCUCCUCUCCCUCUCCCUCUCUCUCUAGGGCUUGGACCAAGGAGGGCAUGAAGGAGAAAAGCUUGGAGAAGAAGUUCUCCAAGGUGUAGAGCAAGCUAGAGCAUGGCUUUGAAGGAAAGUUUUGGACUCCAAAGGUGAGUUCUUGUGAUUUUAAGUUAGGUUUUGGGUUUUUGUUUCUAGUUGAAGCAUUUAGAGAUCUCUAUGGUGGUUUUCCUCCAUGAGUAAUCAAGCUAGGGGCUUGAUUGGAGAAGAUGACAUUGUUGAGGGACCCAAAUUUGGGGUUUUGUAAAAAUGAGGUCGAAGCUUGGGAUUGAUCUCAUUCUAACCUAAUUGAAGGUCAACGAACGCAUCGGUGCGCUCGGUUCAGCGAUACGACGAGCGUGCGUGAAGAUAUUGAAAAAAAAAAAAAAAAACCGAAUUGGUACAGAUUGCCGCAGCUCGCGGCGAAAGUGUCAAAAAAUCGUGAAAACAGAACCACGGCAUCCUAGUAUCACACAAAGGUGGGGGGUGCUAUCCGAAAACACCGAAUCUCUUUUUAUGUCUAUGUCACUUCUUUUGAGCAUAUUGGUAUUAUAGCAUUCUUGCAUGUAGGACAAUGAAUGGUAUAUGUUGAUUGCAUUAAUUAUCUGCUUAAGAUUAUUGUGAGUGAAAUAGAACUAUGUGAACAAAGGAAACAAAUAACCCUAUAUGCAUGUGAAUGUGAGAAAAGACUAUGACCAUAGUAAAUAACGGUGAUAUUGACUAUAGUGACUCGAUUGGUAUUGAAAUGAAAAUAGUUAAACAAGGUUUAACCGGAGUGACAUUAUGUGUAUUAUGGCAUCAGGACCAUUGUGGCUCAUAUUGGUGGUAUAUAUGAUAUGGUAGAACCUAUCAUUAGCAUUGAGAUAUUGAGGCAUGAGACAGGUUUGGCUAUACCUCCUCAAAUUGAGGAUGGGAUCAUACUCACAUGUAUUGGUUCCGGCAUGUGGGAGGUCGCCGCUCCUCCACAAGCGGUGUACUCCGGAGUGUAAACACCACGAGUGAGAGUGCCCGGCGAAGAUCCCUCGUGUAACAUGCCAUAUCCCUCGUAAAUCGUGCCGAGUUCCGUCGAAAUGAGUGGAACGCGGAGUGGAAUGAGUGAGUAUAGGCCCUAAGUGCAUUGGAGCCUAUAUAUGGUGCAAAGGGACCCGAGAGAGUGAGAUUUUAAAAUCUGGCUAAGUCCUAGAUUUUGUGCUCUCGGGGACCGGUCCCUGAAGGAGAGACCGGUCCCUGUACGCGUAGCCUGCCAGGAAAUCCUGAGGCAUCCGGUCCCUGGUGGUGAGACCGGUCCUCGGGAGACCGGUCCCUGAAGGAAAGACCGGUCCCCUGUCGGGCAGCAGCCGAAAAAGCCAGAAAAUCGGCUAAGUCCUGGAAACCCAACGUUCGGGAACCGGUCCCUGGUCGGGGAGACCGGUCCCCGAAGGCGAAGAAUGCCCAGUCUGGGCAGAUCACGGGGAAACAAGUGGAGGGGCUUAAAUGCAAUUGUCACAACACUAUAUAUGGCUGAACCCCUCUCUUCCACAGCCAUUUCUCUCAUCCUCUCUCAUUUUCUCUCUUUCUCUCUCUAGAACCCCUCUAGAGCUUGGAGAAGAAGAAGAAGAACUUGGAGAAGAAGGUGGAUUUGGUGCUUUGGAGGUUCUAGGAGCUCUCCAACAAGAAGAAUCUUGGUGGAUGUCACGCCCGGGUACCAGCGGAAGCAUAUCUGGUACGUGCACAGACCCGCCAUACACCUGCAGUAUAUAAGGCGUCUACAAAGCAAAUCGACAGGAAGUAGAACAUAGAAAAUCCUAUCCUAAUAUCAGAGCAAAGUACAAGUCGAUAUACUAUAAGCAAAAGAACAAAAGAAAAUACAAUCCAAAAUCUCUGCCAUGCUGCAUGAAAACACACCCUAAUCUAUUUAGCGACGCAUCGCUGUAAAUCACAUAAUCCAUUCCAGUGACAGGCAGUGCUAGAAUCGGGGCGGUGGUCAAUCGUUCCUUCAGCUCUUGGAAGCUUCUUUCGCAGCCUUCAUUCCGUAGGAAUUUAACUCCUUUAUGAGUCAGUCGAGUGAGAGGAGUAGACAUCUUUGCAAACCCUUCAACAAAUCUUCGGUAGUAUCCCGCCAAACCAAGGAAACUCCGAAUUUCUGUGACACUGGUCGGCCUAGGCCAAUCUUUAAUUGCUUCAAUCUUCUUUGGGUCCACAGCUAUCCCAGCCUCAGAAAUUACAUGUCCCAGAAAUGCCACUUCUCGAAACCAAAAUUCACAUUUCUUUAACUUUGCAAACAGUUUCUUUUCUCGAAGUACUUACAACACCACUCUCAAAUGGUUUUCAUGCUCCUCGUCACUCCGAUAAUAAAUCAAGAUAUCGUCAAUAAAUACGACCACAAACCUGUCCAAGUAGGGCUUAAAGACACGGUUCAUUAAAUCCAUAAAGGCUGCUGGGGCAUUUGUCAGUCCAAAUGGCAUCACUGUAAAUUCAUAAUGCCCAUACCGUGUCCUAAAAGCAGUCUUAGAAACAUCUUCAGGCUUGAUCUUAAGCUGAUGAUAACCUGAUUGCAAAUCAAUCUUGGAAUACACUUCCGAUCCUUGCAAUUGAUCAAAAAAAUCGUCGAUUCGGGGUAAUGGAUACUUAUUCUUGAUUGUGACUUUGUUAAUUUCUCAAUAAUCCACACACAAUCGAAGAGAUCCAUAUUUCUUCUUAACAAAUAAUACCGGGGCUCCCCGAGGAGAUACACUCGGUCGAAUAAAACCCUUAUCCAGUAAAUCUUGCAAUUGUGCCUUCAGCUCUUUCAACUCAGCGGGUGCCAUCCUACAGGGUGCUUUCGAGAUAGGGGUAGUCCCAGGGACCAGAUCUAUUACAAAUUCAACCUCCCUAUCAGGUGGCAUACCCGGUAACUCAGCUGGAAACACAGCCCCGAAGUCUCGCACAACUGGGAUAUCUUCAAUCUUGACGGCUUCACCAUCACUCACAGAAAUACUAGCCAAAUAGGCUACACACCCUCUCCGAAUCAACUGUCGCGCUCGCGAAGAGCUAAUAGUCAUUGCGAACAACGAACUCCGACACCCCUUGUAAACAAACUCUUGCUGACCCGGUUCCCUAAAGGUCACCGUUCUGUUCGUGCAAUCAAUAGUGGCAUAAUACUGUGUUAACCAGUCCAUACCCAAUACUACAUCAAACUCUCCUAAUUUGUGUAGUGCUAAUAAGUCUACUGGCAUAAUCCAAUCGCCUACCCGAACUGGGCAGCGAGGGCAAAACUCACGAACAUCUAGGGUAUGGUCGGGCACGAUCACUCAUCCCGGAUGCAAAGGAGGUACUAAAUGAAUGCAAUGCAACUCGGCAAACUGCCUUUGUAUUCAUACUUACAGUAAGUGCUAAGCUUUAUGCAUUCAGUUGAUUCAUUACUGUAGAAUGUAUCAUUACAUGUUGCUUACAUGCUUGUUACCUGUUAGCAUUGCAAAUAUAUAUCAUGCAAAAUUAUUGCUUUUAUUUGUAUUUAGUACAUCAUGAGCCUAGUGGUGUAAUUCGCCGAGGCUGGUGGCUUACCCACUGGAACUAUUGUUAAUAGUUCUCACCCCCUUUUGGUGGUUGUUUUUACAGAGCCAUCUACAGGAAAGGCUAGGGAUCGUGGCAAGGGAGUCGCGUCUAGCUAGACAUUGCUAGGAGUAUGCUAGUCGAUCACCUUGCUACUCGGGCUACGGCCGAGGGUGAUGUCCCUAUGUAUAGAGAGACUACCAUUGUAUCUACUUUUUGUAUACCCGUGAUGUAUAUGUACGAUUUGGACCGAGAACUACAGUUGUGAUACUUCUCUUCUGACGAGAUUUUGGAUUGUAUUUUCUUUUGUUCUUUUGCUUAUAGUAUAUCGACUUGUACUUUGCUCUGAUAUCAGGAUAGGAUUUUCUAUGUUCUACUUCCUGUCGAUUUGCUUUGUAGACGCCUUAUAUACUGCAGGUGUAUGGCAGGUCUGUGCACGUACCGGAUAUGCUUCCGCUGGUACCCGGGCGUGACAGAGUAUAGUGGUAUCAGAGCCUAGAGUUGUGUCUUAGUUGUAAUGCAUUGGAAAUUCAGCUUAAGUUAAUUGUGAUCAAGGGGUCGCAAUAAUGCUAAAAUGGAAAUUAAGGAUUCCUAAACUUAAUUAGAANUUGCGUAUUCGAGGCAUAGGCUGAAUUGCCUAGCGUGAGAUGUCUGGCGAGAGACACGAUAGUGUAAGACGCUUGAGUAUAGCUGUCGGUAGAAUGUGAAUUAUGAUUAAGCCAGGAGAGUGUGUUGGCAGUAGCACUGGAGCGUUGCUAAGUGUGAAGCGUGCCAAGGAUCACUCGCGGGGCUGGUGGCUCGCAGGUGCUUAGGAGCCGAUAGUGGUACUUGUAGCUCUGUAGAGCAUGUCGUGUAGGACGACGGCGGGUAGUGCUUGGUGACGACCCGUGCCUGGACCUUUUGUGGACUGUGGAGCCUGGGUCCAUUGGGCAGGCGCAGUCAGCUGCGAGAGGCAGCGGCCUGGUACCUACGGGUAGGGCAGAGAUUUGGUCAGGACGGUAGUCCGAGCUUGGACCCGAGUACGUGGAAUGCCACGUGUUAGAUCGUGAGAUCGAGGAUACGGAGUGUAGCGACCCAACCCGAGGACUUGACGUGGGUUGGAGUCGCGGUUGCUCCGGUUAGAGUGAGUGUGAAUUCUUCAAUAAGAAUAUCGCCCGAUGAUGAUUGGGUCUACGCUUGCGAGCGAGAAACCUUAUGUAAGGUGGAAUUGAGGAUAGUGACCUUAGGAGCGGAGGCUCGGUCCUAUUAGUUGCCUAUUUUGAACCGCCGAGUUAGGCGUCGAUGAGAAAUUGAGAUUAGAAGCACGAACGAGGUGUUCGUGGAAACUCGUGGCAAGAGAUUGAUAUAUUGUGAACGUGGCCGGAAAAGUCAAAGGUUUCCUUUGAGAUUAGUGUGUAGUGGAAGCCACGUGAAAUGUUGGAGGAUUAUGUCUUCAGAUCAUUAGAGUGUAGAGAUGUUAGAAUGAACCCUUCGUUGAAAAGUGGAAAUUUGUGGGCGAUGGAACACUCACAAUUGAGUGGUGUAUUGUGAUAUCGCAGAUAGCGAUGCCAGUUGAGGAAUCAAAGUAGACUCCACCAAAGAAUGAUGAGAAUAGCGAAUGUUAUCUGACAAGUUUAUAUAUGAACCAAGGUGGCUUAUGUAUUUUGAGUACGAAUCAUACAGGAAUGAUUCCCAUCAUGAGUAAAACAGAUAGCAAUAUUCUUUGAAAUAAGAGGAUGUUAUUGUUGUGAAUUGAUUAUCAUCUAUUGAUGAUAAGAAUGAUGACAGGGACAUGUUAAGAUGAUGAUGCGGGUAAUCAUUGAUUUAUGAGGAAAAAAUGAUACUUAGUGGUAUUAAAUGGUGGUCAACUAUUGAUGAUAGUUGAUUACAACACGGGCUUGAUAAGCAGUUUGUGUGAGUAGCUGUUGAUUACAUGAAAAGAGUGCCGAUUUCCGGAUAUAUCACUUCAGUGAGAAAGUAAUCAAAACAAAGAAGUUUUGAUGAUAAAUGACAUCGGAGAAGAGUAAGUCAUUGAAUGAUUGACUUCCAUUGCCAUUGGAAUUGGAAGACCUUGUAGUAAUCAUUUGGAAAGAACACAGAAUGGUAUAAUUUUGUAUAUUGGUAAGUAUUGAAACCAGUUUGGAAAUAUGUAUGAAAUGUGGAUUAAGUUAAAGCGGAACCUAUGACAGAAUUGCAAUAUUAAGUAUUGAGAAAGGAUUGUAUUUGAUCCUAAUGUACUCCAAGAAGCGGAGGAAAAGGUAUGCCUAGUCCGCCAGAGAUUGUUAACGGCCCAGUCACGGCAGCAGAGUUAUGCAAAUAGAGCUGAAAGAACUUGGAAUUUGCAGCUAGCAAUCGAGUAUUAUUGAAAGUGUCGCCAAUGCGCGGGAUAAAGAGAUUUGGUGUUCGAGAAAAGCUUAGUCCUCGAUAGAGGAAAGCGAUACGCGAAUCUUACCCUCAUCUAUUUGAUCAGGAAGAAUUGAGGUAUGAAAUUAAGUUUCGAGGACGAAACUAUUUAAGGAGGGGAGAUUGUAAUGCAUUGGAAAUUCAGCUUAAGUUAAUUGUGAUCAAGGGGUCGCAAUAAUGCUAAAAUGGAAAUUAAGGAUUCCUAAACUUAAUUAGAAGCCUGAGAUCAGUCCUUGGCACAUUUUGGAAGUGUGAGAAUAGAUAAGAAUGGAAUUGGAGUGGCUAAAGAACUCCAAUUGUCAUUACAACUCGAAAGCUGAAAUUUUAGUCGAUUUGGUCAAGUUAAGCCAUAUGAUGUCAAAAUGAAAAGGAAUUGCUUCCAAAUUAAAUUGGUAGCUUGUGAAAGUCCCUUGGUAUGUUUUGGAAGUGUUUGAGUGGAAUCGGAGCGAAAACAGAAGAAUUGGAAUUUUCUGUAAAGAACGGGACUGAGAAAUUAGCAGAAAAUGUACAGUGUCAGAAAAUUAUGAAAAUUGGCGGAGAUGUCAGGACUAUGUUCAUGAGGCUAGAUUUAAAGUUUUAGAUUAUUCUGACACUCGUAGAGAGAGAAAUUGAGUCCGGAAGCUAUCCGAUCAAGAUUUCAGUUCGGUACAGUUCGCAGUGACCAAAUGGGGUCGGAACUGAAAUGUUAAAAUUUCUUUGGACUAGUUAAGUAAAACCGAACAUGCCUGUCAAAUUUGAGCUCAAUCGGACUUUUGGAAGGGCCUGCGAAAGGUAUCUAAUCCGUGCGACUAAACGGAAUAAGUCGAGGGGCAUUAUGGUAAUUAUGCAUAGUUAGUGGAAUUCCACUAACCAGCAGGAGACCUCAGCCAUCCUUAUCCUCUGCCCUUCCCUUCCAUACGUAGAGAGAGAGAGAAAGAGAAAAGAGAGAGGGAAAGAGAGAAGAAGAAGAACAAGAAGAAGUAGAAGAAAAAGGUGAGGAUUUAUUUUUCUCCCCCUCAGCCCUCUUUUCCUGCUGCUGAAAACAGCAGCAGCAGCCCUUUUCCCUGCUGCUGAAAACAGCAGCAGCAGCAGCAGCAUCAAUAACAGCAGUAGCAGCUCAGCUGCAGGGAAAAGAAAGAAAGAAAGAGAAAGAAAAAGAAAUAUCUAAUUAAGGUAAGAUAUUUCUAGUAUUGGAUUAUUGUUAAAUUAGUUGCCUUAGAGUUGGGCAAUUUAAGGGUUUCCUGCUGUUUGAAUUGAUAGCUUCGAGAAGUUUGAUCGGAUUGAGUGACUGAGCAAGAAAUCAGCAGGGAAAAGACUUUGAAGCAAGGAAACUUCGAUUUUUGGUAAGAGUAAUACCUCUCUCUGAUUAAAUCGGAUUGAUAAUUGUGAUUCACGUUGAUAACUGAGCCUUCGAGUGAUGAUUUUUGACAGCUGGGAUGCUGAUGUUGUGGUGCUGCCCGAGUAAAGAGGACAGCUGAAGGAAUAAGAGUAUUCCUGUUGUUGAUGCUGCAGGAUUGCAGGAAUAGACCAUUUGAAGCAGUAAGCAAGUUAAGUCAGCGGCUAAUUAAGGUAAUUUAGUUAUUAUGGGUUCUAGUUAAUGAAUCGCUACGGCAAUGAGACCUAUAUGAAAUUAUAUUGCUGAAAUUUCAGCAUUGGAGCUGAAAGGGCUAGUGCUAUUGUGUAGCAAGUGUAGCUGAGAAGAAAACUUUGAAGAAGUUUAAACUCGGGUAAAUGGAUGCUAAUUCCUGAUUAAUUGUGAUUAACUGCCUUGAAAGUGAUUCUAAGCAAUUAAAGUUAAUGCAGGAAUAGUGGUUAAUUGAGAGUGGGUCUUGGAAUGCAGCAGAGGGACUAAGUGAUAGCUUCAGCUGAGAAGACUUAGAUAUUGAAGAAACUAAAUAAGGUUGACUUGGUGGUUGAGCAGCAGGUUGCCAUUGUGGAGCUGCUGCUUAAGAGAUCAGGUGUGGUGGCUGCUGCUGUGUGAACUUCUGAACACUCACAUUGAAGCUUUGGAAUGAGAUGUUGAGAGGAAAGGAAUAAAUGCUGAAAUGUUAGCUUGAUCCAGAAUUCAAUCUUGUGCGAGGUUUAAUGUGAGCUGAAAACAAACUAAUUGGGCAGCAAAUUAAGGUGAUUCUGAUUUCACUUUGUUUGAAAUUGAAUUAGCUAGUAUAGAGAAUGCUAAUUGAGAAUCCAAUGGGUAACUGAGAUAAAGUAAGGUCACUUAUAGUUACUGCAGGUUUGAAUGAGCUGAAAAAGAAUGAGACAAAAGCAAAUUUCAGCAAGAAUUAGUGAUUAAUAAAGCUGAAAUUAAAUUGAUUAAGUAGCUGCUUAAAGAGGUAGUGCAAUGCUGAAAAUUAAGCAUGAAGUCAGAUUUCAGCAUGAUGCUGAAAUUAAUAGUGAGCUGAAAUUUUAAGUAUUAUGAAAGUUACUUUAAGUAAAUACUUAUAUAAUGUUGAAAGGGAAGUAUUAGUGCUGAAAAUUUCAGCAUAGUGCAGAAUUCAGCAUGAUGCAAAUUUUAAUGUGAGCUGAAAAUAGGUCAAGGACGCAAUGAAUUGAGGUUAAAUCAUGGAUAAAUUAGCCUACAGGGACCUUAAUUAUGCUGAAAGCUACAUAUAUAUGCUGAAAUUUGCAUAUAUAUGCUGAAAACUGCAUAUAUGUAUGAUGUACAAAUGAAUGUAUAUGGCAGGAUGUUGGGGAUGAAAUUUGGAAUAAGUUAACCUUAAUUUCUGAAGUAGAAUAAGGAUACUUGCUGUAAGGGAAUGCUAAGUAAGGGACUUCUCAAGUAUCGAAGUUUCUAUGUAUCAUGAGCUUAUAAAACCAAUCUUAUACUAUGUAUAUGUAUACGUUGAUACUAUAUAGACAAGGUGGAGUCGAAAUGCUAACUUGUAAAAUAUGAGAAUUUGACCCUAGUUUAACCUCUUUUAUUACUUCAUAAAUGAAAGUUAAACUUGUACAAAAGUCUAAAUUGACAUUCCGACAGGUCGGCGAAGCGUUAAUUGCAUUAGAAGCCAAUUCGGCUCCAGUUGCAUUGAGUCGCGUGAUACCUUUGCGGAUUCACUUCGAGACGUGGACUCUAGUUGUUGACACCACUGCAGGUGGGUGGUGCUAUCUGAAGUCUUUGAAUCACCUUUUAUGUCUAUGCUAUUCAUUGAGCAUAUUUACUUCUGUUUUCAUGCAUUAUAGGGUAUGGGCAUUGGUAUUAUGCAAGUGAUAUUGAACGUGUGAUUUCUUAUUGAUAGUAAGAACAUAUGAACAUAGAAUGUGGACAUAGAACCCUAUGAAUGCAUGGACUAUAACAAUAGUGAACUUGGUGACAUAUGACUAGAGAUUUGGUUAGCAUCGACAUUGGAGUUAUACAACUAGCAUAAAGAGCUAGUUCGAGUAAAGUAUGACAGGUUUGUCAGUUGAAUCCUCUAAAGGGGGAUCAGAUCAUACUCACAUUUGUUUGGUUCAAGUGAGGUCGCUCCUCCUUGAACGAUGAGCUCCGGAGUAGUCAUCUUUACUGGACCAGGAGGUUGCGUCUCCCCCAGUUGACAGUCCCGUCGGGUGCAGGUUGCGUCUCCCCGAUGUUUGGGAUAGUGUCAGUGAGUUAUUGUUAACCAGUGGGUUAACCAAAAGAUUGGGUAAAGUUAAUGAAAAGCAUGCAUGCUUAUUUACAGUUUCCAUAUAUAUUGCUUCUUUCAGCUUUGUACAGGCAUUGUAGUAGUUACAUUUAUAUUUGGUUACUAUCUGUUUACCUUUCUUGCCUACAUAUGCCUGAGUAGACCUAGUGGGUGAGUCGGCGAGGUCGGCAGCCGAACCCACUGGGAACUUUCUUGUAGUUCUCACACCACUAACCAUACAGGUUUCAGUGCGAGCGUUGUGGCCGAGGAUCGAGGUAAGAGCCAGCAGCCUAGCUAGUGGACACCCGAGUUGUAGUGGUUACCAGUUUGAGUUCAUGUAUCAUCUAUUUCGGUGUACAGAGACAUGUAAAUGAAUGUAAUAAGUGCAUGUAAAUAACUAAAUGUUUCAGUUAUGCAAGUUAGUUUAAAGUUUUAAAUUACAGUGAAAUUUCAUGUUUAGCUAGCUUUACUAUCACUUGUGUUUGUUGCUUGCCAUCGUGCAAGCCAUGUAUAUUGAAAUGUGAUCCUGGGAAUUGUUUAUUUCUUUAUACAUGUACUUGUUGUUGUUGAGCCUUGGGCGAACAGAGGAGAUGCUGUUCGUUCGGCGUCUGUGUACGGGCCCGAAUCGACCAAACUGGCGAUAGCGGGACGUGACACUCGAUCACUUGGAAUCCUCCAACCGAUCACGCCGCAAGUCCUUGCAGCAAACACGCCUCGACUCCACGAAAUGCCCACCGAAUCCACGGCCUUCACACGCAAUCCUUGCGCAAAUCCUCCAUCCGGAGCUCGUAGAGAUGAUAAUUUGUAGUGAUUGAAACUUAGAAAACCAUAAGCUAUGAGAAAUUCUCUUUUAGUCAAUCAUCAACUUGAUUCUCAAAGGAACAUUCAAAUUAAAAUCUAAGAAUCAAGUCGACGAACAACAAUUCAAAACUUGCGUUAAGAAUAGAAUCAUAAAGCUCGAAAAACAAGUUUCUAGGGUUUCAAAAUGGCCUAAACUCUAAGCAUACAACAUAAUGUAACCCUCAUAGCUUAUUUAUAGAUUUAGAAGACUUAGAAGUAGACUAGGAUUGCAAAAACACAAUUUUAAAAACUGACGACGUCCUUAGGGUUCGGUCCUCUCGAGGAGACCAGUCCUUAGGGGACCGGUCCUCUCAGUUGGAGACCGGUCCCUUGUUGCGUAGCUGAAAACAUAACCUACGGGAACCGGUCUCUCAUCUCGGGGAUCGGUCCCUCGUUGCGUAGCUGAAAACACAAGCUACAGGAACCGGUCUCUCAUCUCAGGGACCGGUUGCAUUGCUUUAUUAUGCAGCGAGGACCUCCGGGGACCGGUCCUUCUGAUCAAGGACCGGUCCCUGAACUCCUGAUAAGUUCAGAUUCAAUUAUUUUAAAAACAUUAAUACAAUCUAAGUCUUCUAAAUACAUUUUGAACAUUUAGAUUCACCACAAAUGAUCUAUCUUGCAUAUUUGAGGUGCCGAGCUUCCCGAAUGAGUCUUUGAUCUUCAAAUUGAAUCUUCUUUCCAAAAAUUUCGCUUUUAAUUCUUCAAGACUCCAUUCGACUUUACGAAAUUCGCCAACCUAGAAAAUCCUUAACAAUCUCUCCCUUUGGCAAUUUCAUGACAAAACAUAUUACAAUGCUCAUACAAACCUCAGAAACAAUAAAAAGAAAGAAGAUUAUCGCAAUCACGAAACGACAAUCUCCUGCAUGACCGAUCCAAUAACAAGAAUUACAUUUUUCUCACAAUCCUAAUACAAACUCUAUGACUUAGACAUGGAGUCUUGAAGUCUUGAAAGUUCCUGCAAAAACAUUCUCAAAACACAAUCAAGAUUCAAGAAUAUCUACUAAAAGAUCAAAUAUAACAUCAUAGUCAUACAGUCAAGUCAAAAGUCAUUAGGAAACCAAAUCGUUAGAAAACCAAAAAAAACUAAAAACAUCAUCAUCUAAAUACAUCAUCUAAACACAUCAUCAGCAGCAGCAUCAUCAUUUCCCCCUUUUUGUCAAGAAAAUGCCAAAACGAUAAAAAGAGGAACCGAAAGCGCUCAAUCCGACUCGUCACUCGGAGGUAAAUCCGAACUACCACUGUCACGCCCCGAGCCCGCCUAUUUGGUCGGUUUCGGGCAUGCCAACAGACCGCCGAACGAACAGGAUUUUUUCUGUACCGCGGACAGAGUCUCCCCUGUACGUCCAAGGUGUCGCAAUCAAUAUAAUGUACGAAGUUCCAACCAGGAACACAUUUCAAUCAAAGAUUGCAUAAGGAAGUACCAAAAACAUAAUCUACUUGUUAUUACAAACAUUCACAUUCACUAGAUACAUUUUACAUCACAAAUACAUAUUACAUUUAACUUCCAAAUGCAAUCAAGCUUUUAUUACAAAUUAUUACAAUCUUAUUUCUUUCAUGUUCUUACAUCCCUAAGUAGCCGACUCAGGAUACUGCUAUCUCUGGUCUCGGUGGUAGGGCGCUAACUACGGAGUUACGCCCUCUCCUCGUGCCGCCGCGCCGCUCACGUGUGAACCUGUAACACCCCAAAUCAACGUUGGGUGAGAACCAACUCCAUGGUUCCCAGUAGGUAUGGCCAUCCAAGGGAAAAGCUCAACCAAUAGGUCUAAUGAGGUACUGCAACAGGUUAGUCCAAUAACAUAUAACAGAUAUUUAUACAUUUAUCCGAUAUUGAACUAUAUGUCAUGCCUUGCGAUAUGCAAUAUGAAACCAUGCAACUAUACAAGUGGAAUAAAUGAUUUUACUUUCUACAAUGCUAUCCAUAGCUUUUCCAUAAUUUAUACAUCUUGUCACUUAACAUUAUUGGUUAUUUGCUCCUAAGGUUUUCCUCUAUCUUAGCCAAGCUAACCACCCGACUCGGUCUCGAGUAAAUCAUCUGCGGAAUACCGCAUACAUCCAAGCUCGAGGUGAUGGACGUCUCACAUACACCUCAGCCUUAAAAUCCACUCAACAGGGAUACCCAAUCUAUAGCUCAUAAUGCAUGCUUUUUCACGUUCACUUUGGCUUUUACCCAAUCAUACCGGUUAACAUUUGUUAACCCCAAUAACUCACAACCCAAAUCCCUACUAUCGGGGAGAAUUCCGCUACGACCCGACGGGACCGUCCUCUGGGGAGAAUUCUGCUACGACCCAGUGAUGUCAACUCCGGAGCACACCGCCCGAGGGGGAGCUACCACCCUCGAGCCAUGACUUAUCGUGAGUAUCGAUCAAACCCUCAACUUGAGGAUACAUAGCCGCUAGUCACAAUGCCAAUGUCACAAUAGGUUCCUACCUAUUUAAUCAUGCCACUCUCUAUGUCAACUUGGUCAAAUGUCAAUAUGGUUAAACUAUGUUUAACAACUACUUUCUUGAUGCCAAUCAUGUCUCCAUUGACAAUGUCGCCUUUGUUUACUAAUGUCCAAGUCCAACUCUCACAUUCACACAAUAAUAGGGUCCUAACAUACAUGUCCAUUAUGGUUCUACCUUUCUCUAUGUUCAACUACGUUAGAAUCAUGUCAGUGAAAGCAACCAAGGUUCACAUGUACUUAGCCCUAUCAUGCAUGAAUAAUACAAAAUACACAUGCUCAAAUGCCAUAAGUGUUUGCUAGGUUCAUGAUACUAGGUUUAAUACCACUUGAUGUCCAACCUAUGUUCUUUAACACUAGGUUCAUGUCCAACCUAUGUUUAUUCACACUAGGUUCAUAACAUCCAUUUCCAACCUAUGUCCAUUACUCUAGGUUUAAUUCCACUAGAUCUAAUGUCUAUAGAUUGUCCAUAUGCACAUAUCCAUUAACGUAAACCUCUAUAUGUUAGCUUGCAUCAUCUAACAUUAACAUUGUGUCACUCCAUGUGCAAUCUUUUAGCAUCUUACUUUAGAUAAUUAACAUGCAAUAUCUAGCAUUUAUAUAACAUACUUAUCCAAACUAGCAUUCUUUACAACUUAUCAUUAUGCAUUACAACUAGCAUGUUCUCUACUUUAUGUUAACAUGCAAAUGUUAUUUACCUCAUGCUUUUAACUAGCAUUAUUCAUACAUGCAUUCUAGCAUUUCUAUAUUACAUCAUAUGCAUCCACUUAGCAUUUCUAUAUCAAUAGCUACCACUACAUGCAUCAAUGAUGAACAUUUAUCUUAGACAUACAGGCGACCUAGUCGCUUCGGUAAACACAACCCACCUCAAAAUGCUUUCCGAUUGCUUGUAGUCACUUGCAAUCGGCCUCCUGCGGCACCCGUGUCCGAUUCGGCCCGAUUUUGCUAAUACUCACCAACCGUGAGUCGAAUCGCGGCACCGAAAAUUAUAGGUCUUCGGUUAUGUGCCACGAUGCUCCAAAUCUAUUUUCAUGACUUUACGAUGUUGCCUCGGCCCUCCAGGUGGAAACGAAGCCUAAACGUCCGUUUCUUUAAUAACUUCGCGUAGGCUCGACGAAUCGCUGAACCGACUUCGCCAACGUGUUCGUUUACCUAGCAAUUAGCUUUAUGGAGGGUCAAAUGAGAUCAAACCCUACUAUUUUAGAAAACUCCAUUCGGAGCCCUAAUAUGCAAUUAACCUCCAAAUAAUCCAAAUUAAAUUGAGCAAACAUAUUUAGAACACUCUAGAUACUACUAGAAUACCAUUCAUGAAGGAUUUAAACAAAAUCCCAAUAGCUUACAAAAAUAUGAAUGCCGCGACGAAAGCACGCCGCUCCAACGGGCGCACGAAAGCUCGAUCCGUCGCUCCCAACGCGUUCGCAGGCAUCUUCUACGCCAACGCCGUGAAUUUGAGCGAGAGAUAUAGAGAGAUGAGAGAGGAAUCUAGAGAGAGAAAGGAGGGUUUCUCUCCCCCUCUCCAUGCGUGCGUGUGAUGGUGGGGUGCUGCUCGGGCUGAGGGAGAAGAAGCAAAUUGCUUCAUUUAUAAUUACACCCCAAAAAACUAUUCACUCCAGGCAGCUUGAAAUCUGAUAUCUUUUGCCGUAGCUCUCUGAAUAUCCGUGUCACGCCCCGGGACCGACACCGAUUUGGCCCGACCCGAGCACGUCAAACAGACGCCGAACGGACAGAGUUUCCCCUACCCGCCCAAGGCUCAUCACAUGUACAUUUUCAUCAAUAGAGAAAAGCACUAGCGGAAGCAUACACAAACGGCUUACACGAGGGUAAGCAAUAGCCAUUAGUGAAAGAAAAAGGAAACUAAACAUUCACUUGUACUAUGAUUCAUUUUUGAUCAUAUACAUUGCAUUCAUCUAGUAAUUUAUCGAAUUCUUACAUUCAUUACAUCAUUUCAUCAUUUCUUUCUUACAUCAUAUUUACCUCAAAAUAAGCUUUACAUUCUUUCUUUACAUCACUAAUCAUCAAGUACAAAAGAUGAUAAAAGGGUGUCUACUAACAAAAUGUACCCCAACUUUGGUGGCCUCUAACUAAGGCGCGAUACCUUUACCUCGGUCGCUCGCCGGCUCGCUCGGUCCCGGCUCUGUGGAAAUAGUGGGGUGAGAACUACAACAAAGUUCCCAGUGGGUUCGGCCUCAACAUCACCGACUUUCCCACUAGGACUAACUCAGGCUGUCACGCCCCGGGACCGGCGGAGGCCCUCCCAGUAGCGUGCCCAGACCCGCCAUAUGUCUACACAUAUAAGGCGUCUACGAUAAAAGCGGAAGUAAAAGCAAGAGAUAGAACAAAUAUAAGAAAUAAAAUAACUAGCAACUAGAGAUAUCAGAGCAAGCAAAGCUAGACAAUAAAGAAAUCAUAAGUAGUACAAUAUCUGUCUCAAAAGUAUAAAAACGGUGGUCUCUAAUACACUGGUAGAACUCUCAACCUCUCCAAAGUAAAACACAACGAGAGGUAGACCACCUAGCGAAUCGUCCUCAAAGGAAGCUAGCUCGAAGCAACUCCCUUCCCGCGGUCCCUAGCCUCGCCCUGAGUGGAAGGCUCUGAAAACAUCGAGAAAAAGAGGGCGUGAGAACUAUAAGCUAUAGUUCCCAGUGGGCAAUUACUGACCUCAGCUCCUGCUCCACUAGGCCCCAAAAACAAAGGUAAGCAACGAUAAUAAUAAUAAGCAAUAAGGAGCAUGUAAAUGAACUGCUGAAAGAAAGCGUGAUGUAAACCAAAAUGUACAUCUAUUCUAUCCUUACAAUUACGUCCAAUGGCACUAGUCUAAUGUCAAUAACCCUUAUCAAUGCAUGAUGCAUAAGCUCUAUCAUGGCAACCAAGUAUGCUCUAAUGCAACAAGAGACUAUCAAAUAUACUACAUGUCUCAACACUAUGCAAAAAAAACAUAUAAAUGUAAUCCAACUACUAAACCUAUCUAGUAGUGAUUAACCAAUCUCGACCCCGUAUCGAUUUCCAUUUCCAAUCAAGGACCUACCAAAGGUAGUCCAGCUUGUGCCGCCUAAGUGCCUGUGGUAGCCCGACAUUCCUACUCUUGGAAUGUGUCUGUCCCACUCGACCCCGUAGGCUUCUCAAUACCGCACGAGCGAACAAAAGUCGCGUAGGCUAACUCCGGAGUGCCGGCUUGUAGGGAGCGACCCUCACAAGCAUGUGCGAAUGAGCACAAAUGGCAAGCAAGCAUAGUCCAAGUCUCAAGUAUCCAACCCUCAUGUCUCUAACAUGGUGUAGUCACUAGCAUCCCGAAGAUCUAGUUUAAGUCACAAUGUGAAGUUUCAACAUUUGCUACGCCUAGUGCCCCUUGAUGACACUUAGGCAAUUUGAUNUUGAGUCUUAGUAGACCUAGCAAACCUUAGGCUGGUUGGACUAUAAGAAUAGGCUCGUGAGAGACGAGGUCUAGUUGAGGUUGUUGUUAGCGAAAGUACUUCGAUUGGGUAAAUUAUAAACUCCGAAUGGUAGGAGUUUGAUCGGAAUGUGCAAUUACUAACUUUGCAGAGGGCCACGUUGGCGGCCGACAACGUGACAUCGGAAGUUAG
rnacentral:lncRNA from 1 species